rnacentral:rRNA from 1 species
CCUACGGGUCGCAGCAGUGGGGAAUAUUGCACAAUGGGCGCAAGCCUGAUGCAGCCAUGCCGCGUGUAUGAAGAAGGCCUUCGGAUUGUAAAGUACUUUCAGCGGGGAGGAAGGCGGUAAGGUUAAUAACCUUGGCGAUUGACGUUACCCGCAGAAGAGGCACCGGCUAACUCCGUGCCAGCAGCCGCGGUAAUACGGAGGGUGCAAGCGUUAAUCGGAAUUACUGGGCGUAAAGCGCACGCAGGCGGUCUGUCAAGUCGGAUGUGAAAUCCCCGGGCUCAACCUGGGAACUACAUUCGAAACUGGCAGGCUAGAGUCUUGUAGAGGGGGGUAGAAUUCCAGGUGUAGCGGUGAAAUGCGUAGAGAUCUGGAGGAAUACCGGUGGCGAAGGCGGCCCCCUGGACAAAGACUGACGCUCAGGUGCGAAAGCGUGGGGAGCAAACGGGAUUAGAUACCCCUGUAGUC